CCUACGGGUGGCAGCAGUGAGGAAUAUUGGUCAAUGGGCGGGAGCCUGAACCAGCCAAGCCGCGUGAAGGAAGAAGGCGCCAGGCGUCGUAAACUUCUUUUGUCGGGGAACAAAGGGCGCCACGCGUGGCGUUGUGAGUGUACCCGCAGAAAAAGCAUCGGCUAACUCCGUGCCAGCAGCCGCGGUAAUACGGGGGAUGCGAGCGUUAGCCGGAUCUAUUGGGGUUAAAGGGUGCGUGGGCGGACCGGAAGGUCCGCGGUAAAAGCCCGGGGCUCAACCCCGGCGCGCCGUUGAAAGUGUCUGACUAGAGUGGGCGAGAAGUACGCGGAAUGCGUGGUGUAGCGGUGAAAUGCAUAGAUAUCGGGCAGAACUCCGAUGGCGAAGGCAGCGUACUGGCGCCGGACUGACGCUGAGGCACGAAAGCGUGGGUAGCGAACAGGAUUAGAUACCCGUGUAGUC
rnacentral:rRNA from 1 species